AUACGUAGGCGGCAAGCGUUGUCCGGAAUUAUUGGGCGUAAAGGGAGUCGCAGGCGGAUGACUAAGCGGAUCUUAAAAGUGCGGGGCUUAACCCCGUGAUGGGAUUCGAACUGGUCAUCUUGAGUGCAGGAGAGGAAAGCGGAAUUCCCAGUGUAGCGGUGAAAUGCGUAGAUAUUGGGAAGAACACCAGUGGCGAAGGCGGCUUUCUGGACUGUAACUGACGCUGAGGCUCGAAAGCCAGGGUAGC
rnacentral:rRNA from 1 species